GCAUUUUUGGAACAUCUGGUUGAACUGGAGUACAAGCAAAGCAACUAGCGCUUAAUGCCAUACCAUUUGAAUCCGGUUGGAACGAAGCUUCUACAGUGCCUCUAGCCCUCUCGGACAAAACCUCAAAUUCUGGUGAGCUUCCCUGCCUAUAAAUUUAUGAUUAACAAAGCCUGAAAAUUUGCCUAGCUUCUGCCUGUGGGAAACCAAUCUUUUUCAUUCUGAUUUGCACAGCAUUUCAACACUGUUGUACAAGUAUAAAUUUAUGUGCAUUUUUUCCUUUUUCCAUUUUUUUUGUAAGCUGAAUAUUCGUGCCACGUUUGCUAGGAAA
rnacentral:lncRNA from 1 species